rnacentral:rRNA from 1 species
GACGAACGCUGGCGGCGUGCUUAACACAUGCAAGUCGAACGGAAAGGCCCUGCUUUUGUGGGGUUCUCGAGUGGCGAACGGGUGAGUAACACGUGAGUAACCUGCCCUUGACUUUGGGAUAACUUCAGGAAACUGGGGCUAAUACCUGAUAGGAGCUCCUGCUGCAUGGUGGGGGUUGGAAAGUUUCGGCGGUUGGGGAUGGACUCGCGGCUUAUCAGCUUGUUGGUGGGGUAGUGGCUUACCAAGGCUUUGACGGGUAGCCGGCCUGAGAGGGUGACCGGCCACAUUGGGACUGAGAUACGGACCAGACUCCUACGGGAGGCAGCAGUGGGGAAUAUUGCACAAUGGGCGGAAGCCUGAUGCAGAAACGCCGCGUGCGGGAUGACGGCCUUCGGGUUGUAAACCGCUUUCGCCUGUGACGAAGCGUGAGUGACGGUAAUGGGUAAAGAAGCACCGGCUAACUACGUG